rnacentral:rRNA from 1 species
CUACCUGGUUCAGCGGCGGACGGGUGAGUAAUGCCUAGGAAUCUGCCCGAUAGUGGGGGACAACGUUUCGAAAGGAACGCUAAUACCGCAUACGUCCUACGGGAGAAAGUGGGGGAUCUUCGGACCUCACGCUAUCGGAUGAGCCUAGGUCGGAUUAGCUAGUUGGUGAGGUAAUGGCUCACCAAGGCGACGAUCCGUAACUGGUCUGAGAGGAUGAUCAGUCACACUGGAACUGAGACACGGUCCAGACUCCUACGGGAGGCAGCAGUGGGGAGUAUUGGACAAUGGGCGAAAGCCUGAUCCAGCCAUGCCGCGUGUGUGAAGAAGGUCUUCGGAUUGUAAAGCACUUUAAGUUGGGAGGAAGGGCAGUAAGCUAAUACCUUGCUGUUUUGACGUUACCAACAGAAUAAGCACCGGCUAACUUCGUGCCAGCAGCCGCGGUAAUACGAAGGGUGCAAGCGUUAAUCGGAAUUGCUGGGCGUAAAGCGCGCGUAGGUGGUUCAGCAAGUUGGAUGUGAAAUCCCCGGGCUCAACCUGGGAACUGCAUCCAAAACUACUGAGCUAGAGUACGGUAGAGGGUGGUGGAAUUUCCUGUGUAGC